CCCCGGGCUCAACCUGGGAACUGCGUUCUGAACUGGGUGANUAGAGUGUGUCAGAGGGAGGUAGAAUUCCACGUGUAGCAGUGAAAUGCGUAGAGAUGUGGAGGAAUUCCGAUGGCGAAGGCAGCCUCCUGGGAUAACACUGACGUUCAUGCCCGAAAGCGUGGGUAGCAAACAGGAUUAGAUACCCUGGUAGUCCACGCCCUAAACGAUGUCGUUUAGCUGUUGGGCAGCAUGACUGCUUAGUAGCGAAGCUAACGCGUGAAAUCGACCGCCUGGGGAGUACGGUCGCAAGAUUAAAACUCAAAGGAAUUGACGGGGACCCGCACAAGCGGUGGAUGAUGUGGAUUAAUUCGAUGCAACGCGAAGAACCUUACCUGGUCUUGACAUGUACGGAACCCUCCAGAGACGGAGGGGUGCCUUCGGGAGCCGUAACACAGGUGCUGCAUGGCUGUCGUCAGCUCGUGUCGUGAGAUGUUGGGUUAAGUCCCGCAACGAGCGCAACCCUUGUCAUUAGUUGCCAUCAUUAAGUUGGGCACUCUAAUGAGACUGCCGGUGACAAGCCGGAGGAAGGUGGGGAUGACGUCAAGUCCUCAUGGCCCUUAUGACCAGGGCUUCACACGUCAUACAAUGGUCGGUACAGAGGGUAGCCAAGCCGCGAGGUGGAGCCAAUCUCACAAAACCGAUCGUAGUCCGGAUUGCACUCUGCAACUCGAGUGCAUGAAGCCGGAAU
rnacentral:rRNA from 1 species